UGCUCAGGAUGAACGCUGGCGGCGUGCUUAACACAUGCAAGUCGAACGAUGAAGCCCAGCUUGCUGGGUGGAUUAGUGGCGAACGGGUGAGUAACACGUGAGUAACCUGCCCUUAACUCUGGGAUAAGCCUGGGAAACUAGGUCUAAUACCGGAUAGGAGCGUCCACCGCAUGGUGGGUGUUGGAAAGAUUUAUCGGUUUUGGAUGGACUCGCGGCCUAUCAGCUUGUUGGUGAGGUAAUGGCUCACCAAGGCGACGACGGGUAGCCGGCCUGAGAGGGUGACCGGCCACACUGGGACUGAGACACGGCCCAGACUCCUACGGGAGGCAGCAGUGGGGAAUAUUGCACAAUGGGCGAAAGCCUGAUGCAGCGACGCCGCGUGAGGGAUGACGGCCUUCGGGUUGUAAACCUCUUUCAGUAGGGAAGAAGCGAAAGUGACGGUACCUGCAGAAGAAGCACCGGCUAACUACGUGCCAGCAGCCGCGGUAAUACGUAGGGUGCGAGCGUUAUCCGGAAUUAUUGGGCGUAAAGAGCUCGUAGGCGGUUUGUCGCGUCUGUCGUGAAAGUCCGGGGCUUAACCCCGGAUCUGCGGUGGGUACGGGCAGACUAGAGUGCAGUAGGGGAGACUGGAAUUCCUGGUGUAGCGGUGGAAUGCGCAGAUAUCAGGAGGAACACCGAUGGCGAAGGCAGGUCUCUGGGCUGUAACUGACGCUGAGGAGCGAAAGCAUGGGGAGCGAACAGGAUUAGAUACCCUGGUAGUCCAUGCCGUAAACGUUGGGCACUAGGUGUGGGGACCAUUCCACGGUUUCCGCGCCGCAGCUAACGCAUUAAGUGCCCCGCCUGGGGAGUACGGCCGCAAGGCUAAAACUCAAAGGAAUUGACGGGGGCCCGCACAAGCGGCGGAGCAUGCGGAUUAAUUCGAUGCAACGCGAAGAACCUUACCAAGGCUUGACAUGUUCUCGAUCGCCGUAGAGAUACGGUUUCCCCUUUGGGGCGGGUUCACAGGUGGUGCAUGGUUGUCGUCAGCUCGUGUCGUGAGAUGUUGGGUUAAGUCCCGCAACGAGCGCAACCCUCGUUCCAUGUUGCCAGCACGUAAUGGUGGGGACUCAUGGGAGACUGCCGGGGUCAACUCGGAGGAAGGUGAGGACGACGUCAAAUCAUCAUGCCCCUUAUGUCUUGGGCUUCACGCAUGCUACAAUGGCCGGUACAAUGGGUUGCGACACUGUGAG
rnacentral:rRNA from 1 species